UUUCCGUAGGUGAACCUGCGGAAGGAUCAUUGACGAAGGCGAGAAUUGUAAAAAGAUUCUCGUUUGAUCAACCACAAUCCAAAAGUGCGAGUAAAGUAAAAUGGGGAGACCCAUUUACGAUGUAUAUUAAUAAAACAAGACUUUCAACAACGGAUCUCUUGGCUCUUGCAUCGAUGAAGAACGCAGCGAAUUGCGACAAGUAGUGUGAAUUGCAGAAUUCCGUGAAUCAUCGAGUCCCUGAACGCAUAUUGCACCUUUUGGUAUUCCGAAAGGUAUGCCUGUUUGAGGGUCAUUGAAUCAAUCGGUACGCGAAUACUUUUUGUGUAUCGGAAUGUUGAGCUUUUCGUAAUAUUUAUUAUGAUUGCUAGAAAUUCGAAGCACUGGUCUCGGCCUAAUAUAGAGACGCGUUUACGGUGGCUUGCUACCAAUUUUUCACAACUUUUAGGUCGAAUUCCAAGCUGGUUUGGGCAUUUUCUCGAGGAAAGAAAAGGCGCAUACAAUUUAAUUUUUAUCAUGACCUCAAAUCAAGCAAGAAUACCCGCUGAACUUAA
rnacentral:rRNA from 1 species